GAUGAAGAACGCAGCGAAAUGCGAUAAGUAAUGUGAAUUGCAGAAUUCAGUGAAUCAUCGAAUCUUUGAACGCACAUUGCGCCCGCCAGUAUUCUGGCGGGCAUGCCUGUUCGAGCGUCAUUACAACCCUCAGGCCCCCGGGCCUGGCGUUGGGGAUCGGCGGAGCCCCCCGUGGGCACACGCCGUCCCCCAAAUGCAGUGGCGGUCCCGCCGCAGCUUCCAUCGCGUAGUAGCUAACACCUCGCGACUGGAGAGCGGCGCGGCCACGCCGUAAAACACCCAGCUCUUCUGAAGUUGACCUCGAAUCAGGUAGGAAUACCCGCUGAACUUAAGCAUAUCAAUAAGCGGAGGA
rnacentral:misc_RNA from 1 species